UACGAAGGGGGCGAGCGUUGUUCGGAUUUACUGGGCGUAAAGGGCGCGUAGGCGGCCUUGUCAGUCAGGCGUGAAAGCCCCGGGCUCAACCUGGGAACGGCGCUUGGGACGGCGAGGCUGGAGUUCGGGAGAGGAGAGUGGAAUUCCCAGUGUAGAGGUGAAAUUCGUAGAUAUUGGGAAGAACACCGGUGGCGAAGGCGGCUCUCUGGACCGACACUGACGCUGAGGCGCGAAAGCGUGGAGAGCAAACAGG
rnacentral:rRNA from 1 species